rnacentral:lncRNA from 1 species
GGAGUUUCUUUCAAUAACAUUCAAAACUAAGGAAGUAAAACCCUACAAGGUUCUAUUUAUAUUACAUUACAAAAAUAAGUGACAAAAGACUAAAAGACCCUUUAGUGACUAGUCUUCAAAAAUGGGCGCCCAUUGAGUGACCAUAUGGGUGGUUUUGGGCGACCUUAACACAUAGACUUGUGCACUCUCUCGGUUGCAUUUAAUAUACUCAAAAAAUGUUCA